GACAGAGGGUGCAAACGUUGCUCGGAAUCACUGGGCGUAAAGGGCGUGUAGGCGGGACAGUAAGUCGGGCGUGAAAUCCCUGGGCUCAACCCAGGAACUGCACUCGAAACUACUAUUCUUGAGUGUCGGAGAGGAAAGCGGAAUUCCUGGUGUAGAGGUGAAAUUCGUAGAUAUCAGGAGGAACACCAGUGGCGAAGGCGGCUUUCUGGACGAUAACUGACG
rnacentral:rRNA from 1 species